GAUAUAACUGUCUUCUGAUAUCUUUAUUUACCUGUUUUCUUGUUUCUCCACAUCACAUUUCCAGACUGCAGGCAUUCAGAGGAGAAUCUCCAGAGCCCAGCUGUGUGUCUAUGAUUAGCUAUCAUUCCAUGGAGCAGCCUCUUUAUUUCAGUAAUGAAAGAAGCAGCACUGAUCUGAGAAAUACAUUCAGAGCAGAAUCUCCAGAGCUCAGCUGUGUGUCUAUUAAGAGCAACCACUCGAUGCAGCAGCCUCUUAGUUUCAGUCAUGAAAGAAGCAGCACUGAGCCAAGACUGCAGACAUUUAGAGCAGAGCCUCCAGAGUCCAGCUGUGUGUCUAUGAAGAGCAACCAUUCCAUGGAGCAGCCUCUUUAUUUCAGUAAUGAAAGAAGCAGCUCUGAUCUGAGACUGCAGACAUUCAGAGCAGAACCUCCAGAGCCCAGCUUUGUGUCUAUGAGGAGCAACCACUCGAUGCAGCAGCCUUACAAUUUCAGUAACAAAAAGCUGAGACUGCAGACAUCCGGAGCAGAACCUCCAGAGCCCAGCUGUGUGUCUAUGAGGAGCAACCAUUCGAUGCAGCAGCCUUACAACUUCAGUAACAUCAAAUGUACCACUGAGCUGAGACAGACAUUAAGAGUAGAACCUCCAGAACCCAGCUGUGUGUCUAUGAGGAGCAACCACUCGAUGCAGCAGCCUUUUAAUUUCAGUAACGAAAGAAGCAGCACUGAGCCGAGAGCAGAACCUCCAGAGCCCAGCUGUGUGUCUUUGAGGAGCAACCACUCGAUGCAGCAGCCUUACAAUUUCAGUAACAACAAAUGUAUCACUGAGCUGAGGUGAGAAACCAGCAUGGGAUGAGAGUGAGUUUAAACAGGGUGUUUUUUGUAGUAAGUCUGUUUUUUUCUUUUUUUUGGUCAUCUCCAAUGAAAAGUACUUUUUAACACUACAUUUUUUCUACCUUCCAGUAAAAAAAAAUCAGGCUGCACAGAAUAUUGUUUAAGCAUUGUCAUCACACAGCAUUCAUGUGAAAUAAUCUUUACAGUACAUUGCAGUAUGUGUGACGCCACGUGAAGCAAAUAAAUAAAAAAUGUUACUCA
rnacentral:lncRNA from 1 species